rnacentral:rRNA from 1 species
CCUACGGGUGGCAGCAGUGGGGAAUAUUGGACAAUGGGGGCAACCCUGAUCCAGCCAUGCCGCGUGUGUGAAGAAGGCCCUCGGGUUGUAAAGCACUUUCAGUGAGGAAGAACGCCUGGUGGUUAAUACCCAUCAGGAAAGACAUCACUCACAGAAGAAGCACCGGCUAACUCCGUGCCAGCAGCCGCGGUAAUACGGAGGGUGCGAGCGUUAAUCGGAAUUACUGGGCGUAAAGCGCGCGUAGGUGGCUUGAUAAGCCGGUUGUGAAAGCCCCGGGCUCAACCUGGGAACGGCAUCCGGAACUGGCAAGCUAGAGUGCAGGAGAGGAGAGUAGAAUUCCCGGUGUAGCGGUGAAAUGCGUAGAGAUCGGGAGGAAUACCAGUGGCGAAGGCGGCCUUCUGGACUGACACUGACGCUGAGGUGCGAAAGCGUGGGUAGCGAACAGGAUUAGAUACCCCAGUAGUC